rnacentral:lncRNA from 1 species
AAUAGUAUUUAUGUUAUUUUCAUUCCUAUUAUAAUCAGUUUAGAAAAUCAAAUGAUAACCUAAAAGAAGAUGACGAAUUUUUCCAUGAAAGAAAGCAACUGAACUCUAUGCAUAACUACUUUACGCAUUCUCUAUUAUAUUUAGAAAGGUUAGAAAGUGUAGUAAAAAAUAUAAAUAUUAUGAUCAGUGACUUAAAUAGGAGUUUAAUGGCUUUUUUUGAAAGUGAUGUAAAAUUAGAAAUAAUUCAACACAUAUCAUAUAUAUUGAAUACAUUUAGUGAUGUUAGAGAGCAAAUAAUUACACAUAUUUCGAAUUCGAAAUUUACAGUUAAUGUAACAUUAGAAAAAAUAAGAUCUUUACAAAAGUUAUGUAUAAAAAAAAAAAAUAUAAAUGUUUCUAUUGAACAUUAUGAAAAGAAAAUAAAAAAAUUACAAACCAUAACAUCAUCUAAUCAAAAACAUUUAGAUAAGAUUAUUAGGAAUGAAUCAAAACUAAACAUGGUCAAAUCAGACUAUUUAAAAUAUCACGAUCAGUUGAAAAAAGGCUUAGCAGUUAUAUUAGAAAAUAAAAUUCAUAAAGUGUUAUUUGAUGCUAGAAAAGAUUUAGAACUUUUGUUGUGUUAUUUUUCAUUAAUGAAUUCGGUUUCAUUUAAACUAAAAGACCCUUUAAAAGAGAUGGUAACACAUACAUACAACAAAAAAAAAGAACACAUCCAAAAUAAGCAUAAAAAUUAUUACUGCAUAAUUGUGCGUGUAUUUAUGUGUAUAUAUGUAUGUAUGUAUGUAUGUAUGUAUGUAUGUAUGUAUGUAUGUAUGUAUGCAUGUUUAAAACGCAAACACAUGUAUUAUGUACGUUUUAUGCCCUUGCUUACCUAGUGGAUACACACAAAACAAGCAUUACAUACAAAACUUUUUUUUUUCAUACCUUUUAUUGUACACUUUUUUUUUUCAUACCUUUUAUUGUACACUUUUUUUUUUCAUACCUUUUAUUGUACACUUUUUUUUUCAUACCUUUUAUUGUACACUUUUUUUUUUCAUA